rnacentral:rRNA from 1 species
UGGGCGUAAGCGCACGUAGGCGGACUUACAGGUCAAUUGUGAAAUACCUGGGCUCAACCCGGGAACUGCAGUUGAAACCGUUUGUCUUGAAUACCUGAGAGGGUGGGGGAAUACCUGGUGGAGAAGUGAAAUUCGUAGAGAUCAGGUGGAACACCGGAGGCGAAGGCGCCUGCCUGGCAGUGUAUUGACGCUGAGGUGCGAAAGUGCGGGGAGCAAACAGGAUUAGAUACCCUGGUAGUCCGCACCGUAAACGAUGGAUACUAGGCGUUCGGAGAGUUAACCCUCUGAGUGCCAAAGUUCACACAUUAAGUAUCCCGCCUGGGAAGUACGGUCGCAAGACUAAAACUCAAAGGAAUUGACGGGGGCCCGCACAAGCGGUGGAGUAUGUGGUUUAAUUCGAAGCAACGCGCAGAACCUUACCUGGCCUUGACAUCGCGAGACCGGUGCAGAGAUGCAUCUUUCCCUUCGGGGACUCGUAGACAGGUGCUGCAUGGCUGUCGUCAGCUCGCGUUGUGAAAUGUUCGGUUAAGUCCGGCAACGAGCGCAACCCCUGUUCUCAGUUACCAGCAUUAAGUUGGGGACUCUGGGAAGACCGCCGGUGUUAAACCGGAGGAAGGCGGGGAUGACGUC